CUUCCACCAGCCGUGUUCCAAUGCCAUAUCCCCUGUGGAUGAAGGAUACAGUGGUCUGCACAUGUUAGCUGGAAGACAAUGGCUGGGUGAAACUCCUUGUGCAUCUGUACCAUACCUCAGGACCCCACAUAUGCCAAGGAGACACUUGAGGUGGACCGUACUGCUGCCAUGGAACCAUUUAAUGUGUAGAAUUUUCAACUUGAAU